CGCGGGUUAGUGGAACGGUACCACGGGAGGCUCAUAAUCUCCAAAACCCGGUUCGACUCCGGGACCCGCAACCA
rnacentral:tRNA from 1 species